AACGAACGCUGGCGGCAUGCCUAACACAUGCAAGUCGAACGAGACCUUCGGGUCUAGUGGCGCACGGGUGCGUAACGCGUGGGAACCUGCCCUUAGGUUCGGAAUAACUCCCCGAAAGGGGUGCUAAUACCGGAUAAUGUCUUCGGACCAAAGAUUUAUCGCCUUUGGAUGGGCCCGCGUUGGAUUAGCUAGUUGGUAGGGUAAAAGCCUACCAAGGCGACGAUCCAUAGCUGGUCUGAGAGGAUGAUCAGCCACACUGGGACUGAGACACGGCCCAGACUCCUACGGGAAGCAGCAGUGGGGAAUAUUGGACAAUGGGCGAAAGCCUGAUCCAGCAAUGCCGCGUGAGUGAUGAAGGCCUUAGGGUUGUAAAGCUCUUGUACCCGGGAUGAUAAUGACAGUACCGGGAGAAUAAGCUCCGGCUAACUCCGUG
rnacentral:rRNA from 1 species